UGAAGACUCUACUUGACUAGCUGAGAGGAGGUGCAUGGCCGUCGUCAGUUCGUACUGUGAAGCAUCCUGUUAAGUCAGGCAACGAGCGAGACCCACGCCAACAGUUGCCAGCUCGUCCUCCCGGGGAUGGUGGGGACACUGUUGGGACCGCCUCUGCUAAAGAGGAGGAAGGAAUGGGCAACGGUAGGUCAGCAUGCCCCGAAUUAUCUGGGCUACACGCGGGCUACAAUGGGUGGGACAAUGGGUAUCGACACCGAAAGGUGAAGGCAAUCUCCUAAACCCAUCCGUAGUUCGGAUUGUGGGCUGCAACUCGCCCACAUGAAGCUGGAAUCUGUAGUAAUCGUGUCUCAAAAUGGCACGGUGAAUAUGUCCCUGCUCCUU
rnacentral:rRNA from 1 species